UGUGUAGAGAGACAUUCCAAUAGGAUUCUUAUAAGCUAUGCUAUAAGCCCAUAGUGCAUCAUCUAAUCGAUCUGUCCAAUCUCUACGAUCGGGCCUAAUAGUCUUUUGCAGGAUAUUUUUGAUCUCCUUAUUGGAUACUUCUACUUGAUCACUUGUUUGUGGGUAGUAUGAUGUAGCUAUCUUAUGUAUGAUCUCAUAUUUUUGCAACAGUGUUUGGAACUAGUAGUUUGUGAAGUGGGUACC
rnacentral:lncRNA from 1 species